GGUCCCGUAGUUCAACGGAUAGAAUAGGAGUUUCCUAAACUCUAGAUAUGAGUUCGAUUCUCGUCGGGACCACCG
rnacentral:tRNA from 1 species